CGCCCUCCUCCUUACUAUUGGCCCAGAGGAUAAACGUCUUCCAAGUGUACAUCCCGAUUGGUGCCUAUUUUCUUUUGGCCCUCCCCCAUGGGCGGGAGGAGGCUUGGGACUCCGGGCUUGGAUUCGCCAGGGCCGCCACCCGCCGAGCUCCAGCGCGUAACCCGGAACCGCGGCGGCGUCGCUUUUAGGUGUCCCCGAAGGGGAGGCGAGGACUCUCAAGCCUCGGUUAACAGCGAGGGCCUUUGCACUACCUCUAAGGCACUUUGGAUUUGUUGGGGGAAAGAAGAAGGAAUAAACAAAGGAGAAGAAGACAGAAGUAGUUUGUGAAGCAGUCACAAAGGCAACGGUUGUAAACGAAACAGCGAGGGUCAGGAAUCAGGAGACCAGAGUUCUCUUCCCAGUAAUUUGCCAGCAUAAUUUGGACAGGUUAGUUUCUCUGUGUUUUUCUUCUCACCUGUUAAAUGGAGUUACAUUAGAUAUUAUGUUAAUUGCUUUCAUUUCUAAAACACUUUCAUUUUAAAUCUAUUUAAGGGCCAACUCAAGUAUGUUACUCCCAAUCAUUCUUAUUUAUGUCUUAAGCACUGAUACUCAUAUCUUGCUUUUUAUUCUUAUUACUUCUCCAAGUGUGUAUUUCUUUUCCUCCCAAGAAGAUCAAGCUCUUUGAGGGCAGGUAUAUGUCUCAUAUUUGCUGUUACUUGCCACCACUAUCAAAACUCUGUGUGUAAUGGGAUUCAGUGUGGUUGGAUUAAAUUUUAAAUUAAAUGUCCUGCCAUUAAGUCAGAACAUUUAAUUACUUCCUUUCACUCAGGAGCAAAACUCCUGUCCUGAAAUUCCUAAUAAUCAGUGAGAUGCCCCAGCUGGGAGGGGCAGAUGCUAUAUGAGUUGAGGUGGAAUGAAAUAUGGUGAUGUUGUAAAUCAGAGUUUCUCAACUUCAGCACUGUUGAUAUUCUGGGCUAGAUAAUUUUUUGUUUGGGAGGACUGUUCUGCACAUUGUAGGAUGUGGAGCAGUAUCCCUGGCCUCUACACUUCAGAUGCAGUAGCAUCCCAAUAAUGACAAUCACAAAUGUGUCCAGAUAUCACCAAAUGCCAACCGUGGGGGCAAGACCAUCCCCAACUGAGAACCACCUCUUACAAAUGAAAGUCUUAGACAGGACAUGCCAGAUGGUGAACGAGGUUUUCUUUACACCAUGUUUCUUUGUACCUGCUGUACUUCUUACAGAUGUUUACAUUUUUAGAAAUAAAAGAAUUAAGAACCGAGUAGAGAUUUUUGUGUGCAGAAGGGAAGACAUUGGAAAAUUUCUGUGCCCACAGUCCAAGGAGAAGUAGCAGAGUUAAGCCAGCAUUUAGGUGGCUUCAUAGAAAGUAGUUUCAACCUGAGGCUCAGAGAGAAAAGGACCCUGAAUUCUCAGAGUCUUAGGAGGUGGUGAGAAGGAAUUUUAAUUUUGGAAUGAAAAAAGAAAGUAAGAUACCUAGGAGAAUAAUUGGCCCAAGGGUUGACCUAGAGUAGGAUUGAAAGAAAGAAACAGGGGAACCCUGGGGAGGAAAGAAACCCUUUGAUGCCUUAAUGUCGCAGUUAUCCGGAGGUUUUGAUAUAGCAGUCUAUAUGUAUACAAGACUGCUUUAAGUUGAUAGUCUCAAUUUCACAUGCAUUUCCAAUGUCCUGCAUUUAUGCUCUCCUCUUGAUUUCCUGCCUUUACUAUAUGUUUUCCUUUACUGUUAAGCUUUCCCAUCUGUAAUUUUCUUGUUUCUAGUUGUGGGCUUUUCUUUUCUGCCUAGAGAAGUUCCUUU